UGGGGAAUAUUGCACAAUGGGCGCAAGCCUGAUGCAGCCAUGCCGCGUGUAUGAAGAAGGCCUUCGGGUUGUAAAGUACUUUCAGCGGGGAGGAAGGGAGUAAAGUUAAUACCUUUACUCAUUGACGUUACCCGCAGAAGAAGCACCGGCUAACUCCGUGCCAGCAGCCGCGGUAAUACGGAGGGUGCAAGCAUUAAUCGGAAUUACUGGGCGUAAAGCGCACGCAGGCGGUUUGUUAAGUCAGAUGUGAAAUCCCCGGGCUCAACCUGGGAACUGCAUCUGAUACUGGCAAGCUUGAGUCUCGUAGAGGGGGGUAGAAUUCCAGGUGUAGCGGUGAAAUGCGUAGAGGUCUGGAGGAAUACCGGUGGCGAAGGCGGCCCCCUGGACGAAGACUGACGCUCAAGUGCGAAAGCGUGGGGAGCAAACAGG
rnacentral:rRNA from 1 species